ensembl:snoRNA
GGCCUCCUGGUGCUCACCCACAGGCUGUUCUUACAUUGACUCUAGAGGAAGAGGAGGUACAGUAAACCCACCCCAUAUACACCUCCACCCAGGCCCGGUGCUGGUCUGUAUUAUGAAGUGGGGACAUAG